rnacentral:rRNA from 1 species
ACACAUGCAAGUCGACUGGAAUUCUUCUUCGGAAGAUAGUACGGUGGCGGACGGGUGAGUAACGCGUAAAGAAUUUGCCCUUCAGACUGGGACAACUAAUCGAAAGGUUAGCUAAUACCGGAUAUUAUGAGACCUUGGCAUCAAGGACUUAUGAAAGCUAUAUGCGCUGAAGGAGAACUUUGCGUUCCAUUAGGUAGUUGGUAGGGUAAUGGCCUACCAAGCCGACGAUGGAUAGCCGGCCUGAGAGGGUGAACGGCCACAAGGGGACUGAGACACGGCCCUUACUCCUACGGGAGGCAGCAGUGGGGAAUAUUGGACAA